AUGGAAUUCAAUUUCACCCAGGGAGCAAUCUUCCUUUGGUCUCUGUUGCCCUGCCCUGAUGUCUCUCUUACUUAAAUGUGUGUGGCUGGAACCUUCCUCAGUUCAGCCAGAUGAAUGUCCCUCAGGAUUCCUAAUGGGAAGCUGGGGACUUCUGGAUUCAUUAAAUUCCAUGGGGAGAUGGCAUCUAUUCUCACCAGUAAAUGUCUGGUAGAAUAUGUAUAUUUUUAAAGCUACACAGAAGGCUGGGGAGACAAGCUCAGUUGAUAAAGUGCUUUCUGUUAUAAGAAUCUGAAUUCAAUCCCCAGAACCCACCUAAAAAUGCCAGGAAUCGUGAUGACUUCAAUGCUGGGGAGGUGGUGACAGGUAGCUUCCUGGGGGUGUCACCUGCUGGCAAGCUUAUUGGAACUGGGCAGUUGCAAGUGACAAGGUGUAAAGUGUCCUGAAGACCAACACUAGAGUCUGACCUCUGUUCAUACACACAUGCAUGCACACACAAACACACACAGGUACACACAUGCUCAACCACACAGCUACACAACAGAGCCUAUGGGAUUUGUGAGAACACUUACCUUCCAUUGCUCUUACGGCAUCUCCCUAGGCCUGGAGUAAAGAAAAGAAGCAGGGAGGCAAUGAGCGAACCAGAGUCCCUCUGGACUCAUCUAAAGAACAAAGCUACUUCUGGAACUUCUGAUGGGAGGGAUGUUCAUUGGGCUGCCCAGGAGAAGCAGAGCGAUGGGAAGAGGUUACUGGACAUUCUCACUCCCACAUCAAUGGCUUUGCUUAUGGCAUUUCUUCUUGCCUGGGGUAUCUUCUCACCUCCUCUCACUUUAUCUCAUCCACUCCUUUCCAGUUUCCUGUGUCUGAUGCCAUUUCUUUCCGAUGCCACGCCUACCCGAUCUUCAUCACUUAGAACAUCCCCAUACUAACAGCCUGAUGGUGAAGAGCACAUGUUCUGAAGUCCUGGAGCCUGGGAUCACUGCCCAGCUCCACCCUUUAUGUUUUACCUUGGGGCAGGUUUCUUAAUCACUUAUUUAUGGUACCUCAAUUUCUCUAACAGCACCAAUGAUCCAAACAGCAUCUACGUCACAGAACUAGCAGUUUCUGCAUCGCUCUGACCCAACAGAGACACCUUACAGGAAGAAAAGUGUUACUUGGCAAUUUCAGAGGGUUUCCAUCCAUUAUGGCAGAGAUGCUCAGUUCAUAGGAGUAGGAUCACAUGGAGAAGCUUGUUCACACCACAGUGAGACAAGAAGCAUAGAACAAAAGGAAACAGUCACCACGAGAUGAAGGCAAAUCCCCAAAUAGUCUCUCCCAGUGACCUACAUCUAUCAGAUAGCUACCACUUCUCCAAGUUUCCAAAAUCCUCCCAAAUUAUAAGAAUAGCUGGGGGUCAGAUGCCCAAAGCUUGACUCUGUGGGGGACAUUUGCAAUUCAAAGCAUAGCCCUGCAUAGUGUGUCAUAUCAUUAAUCCCAGGGUUCAAGAAACAUGCAGGCAGAUUUCUGAGAGAUUGAGGUCUGCAUUGUAAGGCCUGUC
rnacentral:lncRNA from 1 species